rnacentral:rRNA from 1 species
UCAGGAUGAACGCUGGCGGCAGGCUUAAUACAUGCAAGUCGAACGGUAAGGCCGAGUGUCGGCAACACAUGAGGUACACGAGUGGCGCACGGGUGCGUAACGCGUAUGCAACCUGCCCCCGACCGGGACAAAACAGCUGGAAACGGCUGCUAAUAUCCCAUGGUUACGGAUGGUGGCAUCACCAAUCGUAUAAAGAUUCAUUGGUCGGGGAUGGGCAUGCGUAUUAUAGGUAGUUGGCGGGUAACGGCCCACCAAGCCGACGAUGAUUAGGGGUUCUGAGAGGAUUAACCCCCACACUGGAACUGAGACACGGUCCAGACUCCUACGGGAGGCAGCAGUGGGGAAUAUUGGGCAAUGGAGGCAACUCUGACCCAGCCAUGCCGCGUUGCAGGAAGACGGCCCUAUGGGUUGUAAACUGCUUUUAUCGUGGAGUAAACCCGGUCACGUGUGGCCGGUUGAGAGUACACGAGGAAUAAGUAUCGGCUAACUCCGUGCCAGCAGCUGC